rnacentral:rRNA from 1 species
GGAAGGAUCAUUAAAGAAAUUUAAUAAUUUUGAAAAUGGAUUUUUUUGUUUUGGCAAGAGCAUGAGAGCUUUUACUGGGCAAGAAGACAAGAGAUGGAGAGUCCAGCCGGGCCUGCGCUUAAGUGCGCGGUCUUGCUAGGCUUGUAAGUUUCUUUCUUGCUAUUCCAAACGGUGAGAGAUUUCUGUGCUUUUGUUAUAGGACAAUUAAAACCGUUUCAAUACAACACACUGUGGAGUUUUCAUAUCUUUGCAACUUUUUCUUUGGGCAUUCGAGCAAUCGGGGCCCAGAGGUAACAAACACAAACAAUUUUAUCUAUUCAUUAAAUUUUUGUCAAAAACAAGAAUUUUCGUAACUGGAAAUUUUAAAAUAUUAAAAACUUUCAACAACGGAUCUCUUGGUUCUCGCAUCGAUGAAGAACGCAGCGAAAUGCGAUACGUAAUGUGAAUUGCAGAAUUCCGUGAAUCAUCGAAUCUUUGAACGCACAUUGCGCCCCUUGGUAUUCCAGGGGGCAUGCCUGUUUGAGCGUCAUUUCCUUCUCAAACAUUCUGUUUGGUAGUGAGUGAUACUCUUUGGAGUUAACUUGAAAUUGCUGGCCUUUUCAUUGGAUGUUUUUUUUCCAAAGAGAGGUUUCUCUGCGUGCUUGAGGUAUAAUGCAAGUACGGUCGUUUUAGGUUUUACCAACUGCGGCUAAUCUUUUUUUAUACUGAGCGUAUUGGAACGUUAUCGAUAAGAAGAGAGCGUCUAGGCGAACAAUGUUCUUAAAGUUUGACCUCAAAUCAGGUAGGAGUACCCGCUGAACUUAAGCAUAUCAUA